UCAGACGAUGCGUCAUGCAUAUCAAUAAGCGGAGGAAAAGAAACUAACAAGGAUUCCCUCAGUAACGGCGAGUGAAGCGGGAAGAGCUCAAAUUUGAAAUCUUGAAAGGUCACCUUUCACGAAUUGUAGUUUAAAGAAGUGUUUUCUGUUACGAUCGUAAUAUAAGUUCUUUGGAAUAGGACAUCACAGAGGGUGAGAAUCCCGUCUAUGAUUGCGAUUUGUAGCUUUGUGAUACACUUUCAAAGAGUCGGGUUGUUUGGGAAUGCAGCCCAAAACGGGAGGUAAAUUUCUUCUAAGGCUAAUAUUGGCGAGAGACCGAUAGCGAACAAGUACCGUGAGGGAAAGAUGAAAAGAACUUUGAAAAGAGAGUUAAAUAGUACGUGAAAUUGUCAAAAGGGAAGCGUUUAACACCAGUGUUGUUUUCUGAAAAUCAACCUCUGUUAGCUUUAUGCAUGUUUGUUUAGACCUAAUCAGCUAUCUUGCAUGUUCUAUUGUUUGCAGUGGUGCACUUUUCAGUUUACAGGUCAACAUCAGUUUUUUUUACCGUAAAAAAGUUAAAGAAAGGUAGCUCAUGGCUCCGGUCGUGAGUGUUAUAGUCUUUUUCCUAUGCGGUAGGAGAGACUGAGGUCUGCAGUGUAGGCUAUUUGGCUAGAUACUCAGGUGCUAUGUGAUACCAUUUCAUAAACAACUUGUUGAUUAUGUUUUGUCUAUUGCAUACUCGCUUGUACUAUCAUACCUACGCUUAGGAUGUUGAAGACUCUACAGAGAUA
rnacentral:rRNA from 1 species